GGGAGGACCCCGCCGCGCCUUUCCGCCAGCAGGAUCUCAGGGGUCCUUCUGCCUCUGGGGCUGCCCGCCACACUCGCCUGACUUUAUGGAGCCUCCCGCCCAGCCAAACAGAAUCUCUGCUUUCUCACUAUGCUCUACUUUUAUUUGGAAAGAAUAAAUGUGUGAAUAGAAUGUCUCUCUUCCCUUUACGGGGGAAGUAGGCCAGACAAUCCGAGACCUCUAAAUCAGGCAGAGGAUUAGGCAGCCAUAGGCGGGCACGUCCUCCAAUGUCCUUGGCUUUCUCUCGGCGCCAAAAUUCAAACGUUUGUUACUGCUGCAGCACUGCUUACGGCAUGAAGAGUUAACAGUUCAAUCCUUUCAUUGUACUCUUUGGGGAAGCACCAACGUGGCCCCUUGACAGCUUAAAGAAGAUGUACAUCAAAUCAAUUGUACUUGAAGGAUUUAAAUCCUAUGCUCAGAGGACAGAAAUCCGUGAUUUUGAUCCAUUAUUCAAUGCCAUUACUGGCUUGAAUGGUAGUGGCAAGUCCAACAUCUUGGACUCAAUCUGCUUCCUCCUGGGUAUCUCCAAUCUAUCUCAGGUAAAGAGAGAAGGCGAAUUUAAGAAACGUCUUCCUUACAUCAUCAACCUUUUAUUUUAGUCUGAUGAGAAAUCUCUGGUGGAAGACCCAAAAAAUGUUAUUUCUGUCAAAAAAUGGUUUUAUUUUCUUGAAUUCUUCAGUAAGUGAAACUGUGUUUCUAUCGUUUUUGCUUGUUCUUAUUAAGUUUAAAUUAAUUUAAUAAUCAGUACUCUGCGGUAAUGCAAAGUAUACCACUUAAUUGAAAAAUACCCACUUAACGGCAGCAGCCUGAAGCUGAAAUUCUUUUGAAGCUGAAGGUUCCAAUUUGUGUUCUUGUAACAAAAUUCUGCACUUCUACAUUGAGUCUUUGAAAUUUCACCAAGGUGUUCUUCAGAGCGGGAAA